UGCAGCUUCUGCUGGUGGGAAGGCCGAUGGCAGAGCCCAGGGAAGUUAUGUAACGGGCCCAGCUAAUGAGUGGCAGAGGCCAGAGGGCUUGGCCUGCAGAACUGUCUAAGGCCAGAGGCCGUCCAUACACUCCGUCUCCUGAAGGGGAAGCGGGCUCUUCUCAGAUGCACAGGGACAAUGUGAAAAUCCUGUCCUCAGAUUGAGAGGCUGUUUCGUGGGCACCGAAUUCGGGGUCAGGAAAGCAGCCUGCAUCCACGAGUAUCCUCGGGUUACUAAGUGGGGCCAGUGGCUCCAGGUGUAACCCAUUUAAGUUUGCCAGACAGCCGGGAU
rnacentral:lncRNA from 10 species